GACGAACGCUGGCGGCGUGCUUAACACAUGCAAGUCGAACGGACAGGCCCUGCUUUUGUUGGUUUCUCGAGUGGCGAACGGGUGAGUAACACGUGAGUAACCUGCCCCUGACUGUGGGAUAACUUCAGGAAACUGCGGCGCAUACCGGAUAUGAGCUCCUGCUGCAUGGUGGGGGUUGGAAAGUUUCGGCGGUGGUGGCUGGACUCGCGGCUUAUCAGCUUGUUGGUGUGGUAGUGGCUUACCAAGGCUUUGACGGGUAGCCUGCCUGGGAGGGUGACCGGCGACAUUGGGACUGAGAUACGGCCCAGAAUGCUACGGGAGGCAGCAGUGGAGAAUAUUGCACAAUGGGCGGAAGCCUGAUGAAGAGACGCUGCGUGCGGGAUGAUGGCUUUCGGGUUGUAAACCGCUUUCGCCUGUGACGAAGCGUGAGUGACGGUAAUGGGUAAAGAAGCACCGGCUAACUACGUG
rnacentral:rRNA from 1 species